GUGGCAAACGGGUGAGUAACACGUAAACAACCUGCCUUCAGGAUGGGGACAACAGACGGAAACGACUGCUAAUACCGAAUACGCUCCAAGAGCCGCAUGGUUUUUGGAGGAAAGGGUGGCCUCUACUUGUAAGCUAUCGCCUGAAGAGGGGUUUGCGACUGAUUAGGCAGUUGGUGAGGUAACGGCCCACCAAACCUACGAUCAGUAGCCGGUCUGAGAGGAUGAACGGUCACACUGGAACUGAGACACGGUCCAGACUCCUACGGGAGGCAGCAGUGGGGAAUCUUCCGCAAUGGACGAAAGUCUGACGGAGCAACGCCGCGUGAGUGAAGACGGCCUUCGGGUUGUAAAGCUCUGUGAUUCGGGACGAAAGGGUGGAAUGCCAAUACCAUUUCACACUGACGGUACCGAAAAAGCAAGCCACGGCUAACUACGUGCCAGCAGCCGCGGUAAUACGUAGGUGGCAAGCGUUGUCCGGAAUUAUUGGGCGUAAAGCGCGCGCAGGCGGCCUCUUAAGUCCCUCUUAAAAGAGCGGGGCUUAACCCCGUUAUGGGAAGGAAACUGGGAGGCUGGAGUAUCGGAGAGGAAAGUGGAAUUCCUAGUGUAGCGGUGAAAUGCGUAGAGAUUAGGAAGAACACCGGUGGCGAAGGCGACUUUCUGGACGACAACUGACGCUGAGGCGCGAAAGCGUGGGGAGCAAACAGGAUUAGAUACCCUGGUAGUCCACGCCGUAAACGAUGGAUACUAGGUGUAGGAGGUAUCGAGCACAUCCGUGCCAAAGCUAACGCAAUAAGUAUUCCCCCUGGGGAGUACGUUCCCAAGAAUGAAACUCAAAGGAAAUGACGGGGACCCGCCCCAACCGGGGAGCCUGGGGUUUAAUUUGGAGCAACGGGAAGAACCUUACCAGGCCUUUACAUCCUCCUGAAGCUCUAGAGAAAAGUCAGGCACUUGGGAAG
rnacentral:rRNA from 1 species